CCUACGGGAGGCUGCAGUAACGAAUCUUCCGCAAUGCGCGAAAGCGUGACGGGGUAAUGCCGCGUGCAGGAUGAAGCCCCUCGGGGUGUAAACUGCUGUCAGGAACCAGGAACGCAAUGACCAGUUCCAGAGGAAGAGCCGGCUAACUCUGUGCCAGCAGCCGCGGUAAUACAGAGGGCUCAAGCGUUAAUCGGAAUCACUGGGCUUAAAGCGAGCGUAGGCGGAUCGGUAGGCACGUUGUGAAAGCCCACGGCUCAACCGUGGAAUUGCAGCGUGAACCCCCGAUCUUGAGGCGAGUAGAGGUAGCCAGAACGAUAGGUGGAGCGGUGAAAUGCGUAGAGAUCUAUCGGAAUGCCGAAGGUGAAGACAGGCUACUGGGCUCGAACUGACGCUGAGGCUCGAAAGCGUGGGGAUCAAACGGGAUUAGAUACCCUGGUAGUC
rnacentral:rRNA from 1 species